AAGCCCUGUGAAAGACCAAAGUGCAAAUUUGGAGACGCACCCAUAAAGGGUGCCGGGGCUUC
rnacentral:tRNA from 1 species